UACGUAGGGUGCAAGCGUUGUCCGGAAUCAUUGGGCGUAAAGAGCGUGUAGGCGGCCAGAAAAGUCCGCUGUGAAAACUCGAGGCUCAACUUCGAGCUGUCGGUGGAAACUUUCUGGCUAGAGUCCGGAAGAGGAGAAUGGAAUUCCUGGUGUAGCGGUGAAAUGCGCAGAUAUCAGGAAGAACACCCGUGGCGAAGGCGGUUCUCUGGGCAUUACCUGACGCUGAGGAGCGAAAGUGUGGGGAGCGAACAGG
rnacentral:rRNA from 1 species